CAUUUUUAUUUGCAGCAAAGGCCCAUUUUUUUCGUGCAGCUGUUCAUAGCAUUUCUGGUUGUAUGUGGAAGUGGCACUUCAGGCAGCAAUAUUUUCACUGGGGAGCAACAGCGCACAAUGUUCAAAGAUAGUGCCUCAUGGGGAUGCAUGCAAUGCAUCUGCAUCAAGCAUGCUGGUAUGCGUCAACUGGCUUGCACACACCCAUGUGCCUGCCAUGCCUCGUCUCAUAAUACACCGGACACAUACCGCUUACUGCUUCAUCAAAUGCAGGGUGCAUUGCUGUCGGUUUGCUAUUAUGAAGAUGCCAAGUUGCAACCACAACUGUUACUAUACCUAAACAUAAUGAAUUACUUUAAAAUUGCCAACUCUCACUUAUUUGGCUCACUGGAAUUAUUGUAGGCUAAAGGACAAAAAAAAUGCAUUCCUUGCGUAUCCAGGUGCAAAACAUUGUAGCAGCAUUUUGCAAUAAUUGAUAGCUUAAGCCAGCCUGCAAAAACAAAAGGGCAAACAGCAUAGGCAAACUGCAUAGUGUUAAUCUUAUAGUCUACUUGAUGAAUUGGUCCAGGCAAGCAGAUCACUGACAAUCUAAGCAGCCCUGUCAUCUGAUUGGCCUGUGCCAGCCACGUGGCUUGCGGUGCAUAGACUGAUAUCUGACAGAUGCCAUGCAUUGCCUGUGUCAUGCCACUUCCAGCAGGCCCAAAGGUGCAUUGACGUCCGGCUGGUGUGUCUGCUCACGCGUGCAAGAGGAAACAUCACCUUUAGAGCUCCUAUUGAAUACACAUGAUAAUGGAUGUGAAAUAUUUCACAUCCAUUGAAUCGGUUUAGUUAGAGUUCGACGCACUUAAAAUAAAAAAUUAAAAUGGUUUCUUAAAGCAAAUAUUGCUGGAAAGUGGUAAAUUUAAUACGUACGAAGCGUGAAAUUUGGCAACUUUGUAACUGGCAGUAAUGUCAAACGUUAUCACUUUGGACGUGGUCGAAACGCGUAAUGCUGCCGAUUACGCUCCAGUAUAUGUAUUGCCUUCAAUGAAAAGGAAAAGCUGUAGGUAUAGUAUUGGAAUUGGAAGAUACAAUGUAGUCAUGUAAAGAAUCCUGUGUAACAUUCUUAAGUGUGGAGCUGUUCUUGUACUACGUAGUAGACUUUUAGUUUUGCGCAUGCACAUAGCUUUGGAGAAUAGAAAGGUUGUAGGCUAGAAGCUUGAUAAUCUAAGUCUGUACUGCAUUUCCCCUUUUUAGCUGCAAUGCAACGCUGUUGGAAAUGAAACAGUGAGACAAGGGAAUUGUGACACUGACAAUUGUGACAAGACAAGUGAGACUUGUUACACUACUAGCACUUCACCUCUGUGGCCACAAUUGCUGGUGUGUUGCAUCCCACAGUUCUGUUGGCAUUAAAGGUUAUUGGGGCAUGGCUUCCCUGCGGAAAGCAGAAUAUUGAUGCAGUUCAGCAAUGCAGUUUGUAAAGUAGCAGACUAGUGUUAAACUUGCAAAAGCACACUGUACAACAGACGCACCGCUUCUGUCCUGUCUGUAGUGUGUUUUUGCAAUUGAAUAUGAAUUACCAAAUUGUGUCUACACCUUCUUAAACAGUGUGCUUGCCACCGAUUUGACAGCUUACAACUCUGAAUUCCAGGCUUCACAGCAGUUAGGCUUUCUUUUAAGCCUUGUGCCCCGUAAACUAUUGAUGCCAAUAGUACAUGUGAGCUGUCGGGAAUACAUGGUGCUCAUAUAGUAUUAGAUUUUAUGCCGCACAGAGUGGUUGUUCUGCCAAAAUUGGCAUAACACAUCAUUGUGAAAUGACCGCAUGUAUGUGUGUGCUAGGCAUGCCAGUUUUUUUUGUAGUGGAGCUACACGAACAUGAUUGCUGCAUAGUACUAGAGGGUUUGCAUAAAAAAGUUAAAUCAUAGUGGCACUAAAUAGAGUCAAAUAGUAAUGGCACCAUUAUGAAUAAUUCUUACUUUUUUAAAUAGUUUAUAUUACAUGCACAUAUUUUUCAAAUUUUAUUAUUUUCACUAGCUGCAUACUUCUGAUCAAGUGAUUGGAAGUGAUGAUUAAGUGAUUUGAAAAUAUUGCCUAUUAAUUAAUGUCUGCUUGUCAAAUCAUUCGUGAGGUAGCAUGGAUUAUUCAAAGUUUGAAAAAUCCAAAAUUUUUAAUAGCAGCUGUUUUGUCCAAGGACCAUAUUUUAAUAACAGGUGUGAAGGGUCUGAAAGGUAGGCGUGUUCUGACUGCUGGAACAAAAUGGAACCUGUAAGAAACUGGCUGGACCUUGUUGUUGGUACAACAGGUCACAUGUCAGUUCACGCAUGGCACUGCAUGAUG
rnacentral:lncRNA from 1 species